rnacentral:lncRNA from 1 species
GCAAAGAGUCAGACACGACUGAGCGACUAAACUGAACUGAACUGAACCUUAUCAUCCCUGCAGACUUUACCUGGUUAGGCUGAGGAUCACUGCAAAAGUAUAUUUUGAGUUCCGUUUUUCAUUUUCUCCUCAGAGUUGAAAACAACCGUUUUGCAUGGAUUUCGUUGCCCUGUCUGGAGAUGCAGUGAGCACUCUGGCCUGUCAGCUGGCCUGGAGCUGAUGUCCCAGCCCUCCCGAGUCCCGUGAGCCCAGGUCUCUCCACUGCUACCCAGCUCCUUAGCACGCGUCACCACAAGGCCUUGUCUCUCAAGACCAUGUCACCCCGAGUCACCCCAUUUCCUCGUGCUGGCCGUGGCCCCUGGGGCGCCCAGAAUGUGCCCCAGAGUUGUCGUGACUGGAGAGAGGGUGUAAGGGGUCGCACAGAGCCAGCCACAGGGGCCAGGACACCCAGCCCCACGUGCAGCGGAGACAGAGACCUCUGUGACUGGGUCUGGGAGGGGCGAUGGGCCCACAGGGCCGGAGAGGCAGCCCAGGACAGAGGAGAGCCUGCUGGGCUGGACUUGGACCUGGAGCAGCCUGAGGGUCCUGGCUCAGUCAGGUCAGGAAACCUCGGCUCACGGACGCCUCAGGGGACGCGGUGGGGCAUCCAUAGCUGGGCAGACAUGAGCAUCUGUCCCCUCUGCUGGGUGGUUGUUGGCGUCCAUCCCUGUCCUGGGCGUCCGUCCCCCUCCUGGGCGUCCGUCUCCUCUCCUGGGCGUCCGCCCCCUCUCCCUGGCACCUGUCCCCUCUCCCAGGAGCCCAUGCCCUCUCCUGUGCCCUCUCCUGGGCAACCAUCCCCUCUCCCAGGCAUCCGUCCCUCUCCUGGGCGUCCGUCCCCUCUCCCAAGUGUCCCCUCUCCCGGGCGUCCGUCCAUCUCCCGGGCGCCCGUCCCCUCUCCUGUGCCCUCUCCUGGGCAACCAUCCCCUCUCCUGGGAGCCCAUCUCCUCUCCCGUCCCCUCUCCCGGGCACCUGUCCCCUCUCCUGGGCUCCCGUCCCUCUCCCGGGCACCCGUCCCCUCUCCCGGGUGGUCCUGGGCACCUGUCCCUCCCCCAGGCAGCCUUGGCCGUCCGUCCCCUCUCCUGCCCACAGGAGCCCCUGCUCCUGGCUCUCCCUGGCCACUGAGCGGUCACCCCCCCACUGGCCCCGAUGGUCACCCUUGGUCUGGGCACCCCAUGCUGCCCCCAGUGCCGCUGCACGUGGUCCUCAGAGGGCAAACGCCCCUGGACCAGGUGUUGGGGCCAAAGUAUGUUGGCCACAAAUGCUUGGCUGCCCAGCCCCGUGGACCGUGCUUCUGGGUGGAUUUAUGCCCGGGGAGUGUUUAUAUGUCCGAGUGGGGCAGGGGUGGGGGCACUGGAGGGCCCCAGGCCCCUGGGUACAACCCGUGCACCCUGGCCCUGGCUGUCUCCAGGGCCUCAUAA